rfam:Lachnospiraceae bacterium 28-4 genomic scaffold acPFn-supercont1.4, whole genome shotgun sequence.
AGAAUAUAGUAGUAAAUGCCGAAGACAGCAGGUGCUGUGGAAACAGCGUAAGGACAAGACGCCUGCCGAGGAAAAGAGUUUAUUUGGUAUGACUUUAUGCCUUUCUGUCUUUGGAACAUUAUGGACAGGAAGGUUUUUAUAUUAUACU